rnacentral:rRNA from 1 species
GUGUCAGCAGCCGCGGUAAUACAGAGGGUGCAAGCGUUGCUCGGAUUUACUGGGCGUAAAGCGUACGCAGACGGUAAGAAAGGUCGGAUGUGAAAGCCCCGGGCUCAACCCGGGAACUGCAUCCGAAACCAUCUUGCUAGAGUAUGAGAGAGGGAAGCGGAAUUCCUGGUGUAGAGGUGAAAUUCGUAGAUAUCAGGAGGAACACCGGCGGCGAAGGCGGCUUCCUGGCUCAUUACUGACGUUCAGGUACGAAAGCGUGGGUAGCAAACAGGAUUAGAAACCCCUGUAGUCC